rnacentral:misc_RNA from 1 species
AGCUGUUCCCCUCUGGAGGUUUAAUGACCUUCACACUUUAAGGGCCGCGGCUUUCGCCGACGGCCCCUUUUUUAUGCCUUC